GCGUCUCAUUAGCUAGUUGGUAGGGUAAUGGCCUACCAAGGCAACGAUGAGUAGCUGGUCUGAGAGGAUGAUCAGCCACACUGGAACUGAAACACGGUCCAGACUCCUACGGGAGGCAGCAGUGGGGAAUAUUGCGCAAUGGGCGAAAGCCUGACGCAGCAACGCCGUGUGAGGGAUGAAGGCUUUCGGGUCGUAAACCUCUGUCAGAAGGGAAGAACGGGCAUUGGUCUAAUAGGCCUUUGUUUUGACGGUACCUUCAGAGGAAGCACCGGCUAACUCCGUGCCAGCAGCCGCGGUAAUACGGAGGGUGCAAGCGUUAUUCGGAAUUACUGGGCGUAAAGCGCACGUAGGCCGCUUUGUAAGUCAGGGGUGAAAUCCCACGGCUCAACCGUGGAACUGCCCUUGAAACUGCGAAGCUUGAAUCCUGGAGAGGGUGGCGGAAUUCCUGGUGUAGGAGUGAAAUCCGUAGAUAUCAGGAGGAACGCCGGUGGCGAAGGCGGCCACCUGGACAGGCAUUGACGCUGAGGUGCGAAAGUGUGGGGAGCAAACAGGAUUAGAUACCCUGGUAGUCCACACCGUAAACGAUGGAUACUAGGUGUCGGGGACUUGAUCUUCGGUGCCGUAGCUAACGCGUUAA
rnacentral:rRNA from 1 species